AUUGAACGCUGGCGGCAGGCCUAACACAUGCAAGUCGAGCGAGCCGCGCACGGGUGAGUAAUGUAUGGGGCUCUGCCCGAUAGAGGGGGAUCACCACUGGACACUGUGUCUAAUACCGCAUACUCUCGGAUGACCCCAUAUGGGAUUAGCGAGGAGGUGGGGUAAAGGCGCACCUAGGCGACGAUCUCUCGCUGGUCUGAGAGGAUGAUCAGCCACACUGGGACUGAGACACGGCCCAGACUCCUACGGGAGGCAGCAGUGGGGAAUAUUGCACAAUGGGCGCAAGCCUGAUGCAGCCAUGCCGCGUGUAUGAAGAAGGCCUUAGGGUUGUAAAGUACUUUCAGCGGGGAGGCGUUACCCGCAGAAGAAGCACCGGCUAACUCCGUGCCAGCAGCCGCGGUAAUUC
rnacentral:rRNA from 1 species